AGAGUUUGAUCAUGGCUCAGGACGAACGCUGGCGGCGUGCCUAAUACAUGCAAGUCGAACGCUUCUUUCCUAUCGAGUGCUUGCACUCACUUGGAAAGAGGAGUGGCGGACGGGUGAGUAACACGUGGGUAACCUGCCCAUCAGAGGGGGAUAACACUUGGAAACAGGUGCUAAUACCGCAUAACAGCUAACACCGCAUGGUGUUGGAAUGAAAGACGCUUUCGGGUGUCACUGAUGGAUGGACCCGCGGUGCAUUAGCUAGUUGGUGAGGUAACGGCUCACCAAGGCAAUGAUGCAUAGCCGACCUGAGAGGGUGAUCGGCCACACUGGGACUGAGACACGGCCCAGACUCCUACGGGAGGCAGCAGUAGGGAAUCUUCGGCAAUGGACGAAAGUCUGACCGAGCAACGCCGCGUGAGUGAAGAAGGUUUUCGGAUCGUAAAACUCUGUUGUUAGAGAAGAACAAGUGGGAGAGUAACUGUUCCCGCCUUGACGGUAUCUAACCAGAAAGCCACGGCUAACUACGUGCCAGCAGCCGCGGUAAUACGUAGGUGGCAAGCGUUGUCCGGAUUUAUUGGGCGUAAAGCGAGCGCAGGCGGUUUCUUAAGUCUGAUGUGAAAGCCCCCGG
rnacentral:rRNA from 1 species